GUUUUCUUAAAGGAAAAUACAUAUCCUAAAAUUGAUGGCCAAAGUAAUGAUUAGCAGCAGCUAUAUGACACCACCAAGAAAGGGGAUGUCAUUGUAUAAAGCUAAAACAUACUUAAUUAGGGUCUCUUCUCUUUUUAGGUAUGAUUUUAAUUGGUAUAGAUGAAGAGCAAGGCCCUCAGGUAUAUAAGUGUGAUCCUGCAGGUUACUACUGUGGGUUUAAAGCCACUGCAGCAGGAGUUAAACAAACUGAGUCAACCAGCUUCCUUGAAAAAAAAGUGAAGAAGAAAUUUGAUUGGACAUUUGAACAGACAGUGGAAGUAAGUCAAUCAAAAGGAGCUGACUUUUUUUAUGCUGUAUAGAACAGUGAGGAUCUUUGUAUAAUUUCUAUACAAAGUUAUUCCUGAAUUACAUCCCAGGAUUCAAGUUUGUCAACUUAAUAAUGAAAUUGAUAUCAUACAGCUGACAUAGGAAAAUUUGGGUUGCUUUUAUUCACUUAAUUCCUUAUUUCAUAAUGUAUUUGAGGUGACUUUCAACAAAACACAUAUAAUAGGAAAAUAUAAAUAAAAAUAGGAACCAGCUGGGCAUGGUGGCACACACCUGUAGUCCCAGCUACUUGGGAGGCUGAAGCUGGAGGACUGCUUGAGUCCAGGUGUUCGAGGCCAGUCCUAUUUACUGCCAAGAAAUUAAAAACAAAAAUUUUAGUAGAUUUUGGGUGUAAGUCUGGAAUUAAAGCCAUUCUGAAGAUGCUAACAACGUGCUUCUGAUAAAUGACCAAAAAAAAAUUACCAUCUAAUGCUUUUAUGUUUGGUUUGGAAGUAUGCUUAAAGGAGAUAAAAAGCUAGUUCAUGUUCAGGAAGUACUGGGCCCUGUCUAAAUAUUUCUUAAAGGUUUAUUUUAUUGCGAUUCAUAAUUAAUUACAUAAAUAACCACAUCCGGUAUAAAAACACUUAAGGCCGGGCAUGGUGGCUCACACCUGUAAUCCUAGCACUUGGGAGGCAGACAGAUCACCUGAGGUCAGGAGUUUGAGACCAUCCUGGCCAACAUGGUGAAACCCUGUCUCUACAAAAAAUAGAAAAAUUAGCCAGGCAUGGUGGCAGGCACCUGUAAUUCCAGCUACUCAGGAGACUGAGGCAGGAGACUCGCUUCAAUCCACGAGCCUGAGGUUGUAGUGAGCCAAGCUGGCGCCACUGCACUCCAGACUGGGCGACAGAGUGAGACUCUGUCUCAAAAAACAAAAACAAAAACAAAACAAACAAACAAAAAAAACACUUAAAACAUUCUUAAAUCGUUUUUACUGUAAAUUCCUUGAAGAUGCAGAGAGUAUCAUUCAUCUUUAUCCUUUUCCCAUUUCACCCCAAGUGCUAAGUAAGUGUAGUGCCUGGGUCAUGAAGCCAAUAAACCUUUUUGUAUAAAUCAUCCUAUUUUAAUUAAUGGACCCCUUUAUUAUUUGACUUGGUAGAAAAAAAUUACUCAUCAUUGGGAGGCAAUACAUUAGAGUUAAGCAGUCUGUUAGUAACAUUGAACUACUUCAUUGAAACAUGGAGCUCCUGAUUGACUCAUGAUUUGAAUAAGCUAGGAAUGAGAAACCUUGGAAUCUCUAAAACAUACUAUAUUUUAACAUUAAAUACUUUUUUUCAGACUGCAAUUACAUGCCUGUCUACUGUUCUAUCAAUUGAUUUCAAACCUUCAGAAAUAGAAGUUGGAGUAGUGACAGUUGAAAAUCCUAAAUUCAGGUGAGUGAUAUUGUGGGCCACAUGCAGACUAGAAAGGUGGAGGCAUGUGAGUCCAUGUGUCCUAUAACUUGUGGGGGAAAUCUUUUUUCUUUAACUGUCAUUAUAGUUUUUGUUUGUGUGUUUGUUUUUUUCCCCAGCACCUGAAAUCUGUUUUUAAAACUUUGGACUCUAUUUAAGAGUCAGAUAUGAAAGCUUUUCUCCUUAUUUCAGAGUGGUUUUAUAUCUAACACCAGAGAUGACAUAAAGUUACCUUCCUUAUGUAAGGAAAAAAGUUAGCAUAAGUGUUUUCUUUUUUUUAGUUUAAGGCCAAUACAAAUUCAAUUCCCAAAGUAGUAGUUUGCAAGUUUUUCAGAUAGAACUUUGGUUAUUUAGUGGUUAUUUAAGUAGAACUUUGAGGAGCAAUAUGAGCUACUGAUAUAUGUCAGACCCUUAUCUAGAGAUCUUUGGAAAGCCCAAAUUUUGAAUACAGCUAAUUGACUUGCAGUUGCUGGAUGUGUGUGUGUGUGUAUUCUUACUCACUAAGUAACUAACUCCCACACAUCAGCCUUAUAGCUUCCAUGAUUCAAAUCCAUACUGAGUGCUUCAUAUAAUCAGCUCAUUUAAUCCUCCCAGGAGCCCUGUGAGGCAGUUGAUAUACCAUGGACCAGGAUGCUCUUAUAUUUAAUGAAAAUACUGCAGUUAAAUCCACAGAUACAAGGAACUACUGGGAGGCAUUUUAACUAUUAUGUGUAUCUAUUCUUAGAUCACAACCAUAAAGACACAUGGUCUUGGUUGUGGUGUGGGGUACGAGAGUGGUAAACUAAGCUUAACUAGACCUUGAAGAGGUUUUACGUUUGUUUUUUCCUAAUUUGUUCUUUUGGUUGCCCACAGAUAAGUCAUAUAAAUAUGACAGAUUUAGAAAAAUUCAUAGGACUUUAAAAAAAAAAAAAAAAAAACAGGAGCUGGGUGCUGUGGCAUGCAUCUGUAGUCUCAGCUCCUCAGGAGGCUGAGGCAAGAGGAUGGCUUGAGCCUUGGAGUUGAAAGCUGUAGUGCACAAUGAUAGUGCCUGUGAAUAGCCACUGCACUCUAGCCUGGGUAACAUAGUGAGACCCCAUCUGUUAAAAAAAACAGCUGACAACACCAGAACUGAAUCUAUCCUAGCUUUUUUUCCCAUAGGAAGAAGUCUUGUAACUUAGGUUGGGGUAGGGGUGAGGGGUUGGGGUGGUGAUCAAGUUGCUUUUGAAAAAGGUGCCUUUUUUUUUUUUUUUUUUUUUGCAGUAAAAAUUUCAGCAAGAAUAAUUUUAAAAUCUCUGUAAGGAACCUACAAUUAGUUCUUGUUUUCUUUUCUGUUUGGAAUCCUUCCUGCCACCUUUAAAAUUGUAUUUGUAUCUGUUAUUUUUAAAAUUGGUAAGGAACCAAAAAUCUUACCUUCAAAAAACUUUGUAUCAUUUAUAAAUUCUGUGAUAGUAAAUAUAUGUAAAUAAUUACAAUACAUAGCAUAAGCAUCAACAACUAUUUAAACUGCUUGAUAUUGCCUUCAGUUGCACUAAAAAACAUCCUUUUGACAAAUUUCGCUUUUUAGAAGUCUAGUAGUAAUAGGUCACAUUAACAAGGUUGCCAAACAAUGGCUUCCUUUCGAGGCAAACAUCAUUUAGAAAAUACAUGUUCAGGGCCUCACAUGGUGGCUCACACCUGUAAUCCCAGCACUUUGGGAGGCCAAGGUGGGCAGAUCACUUGAGGUCAGGAGUUUGAGACCAGCCUGGCCAACAUGGUGAAACCCUGUCUCUACUAAAAAUACAAAAAUUAGCCAGGUGUGAUAGUGGACGCCUGUAAUCCCAGCUACUUGGGAGGCCGAGGCAGGAGAAUUGCUUGAGCCCGGGAGGCAGAGGUUGCAGUGAGCCAAGAUUGUGCCACUGCACUCCAGCCUGGGCGACAGGGUCAGACUCCAUCUCAAAAAAAGAAAGGAAAUAUAUGUUCAACAUGGAGCACUCUCUGGCUGGUAGACUAUUCAUAGAAUUAUAACUUUAUUUUCAUGAACUUCUGAAUCUGAACACUUUAAUAUGCUUAAAAUUUCUUCAUGAAUUUUUAUCUUUGAGCUGACAUAAAUUUGAGUUAUACUACAUAUAAAUGUAUUUUGACGGCUGGGCAAGGUGGCUCACGCCUGUAAUCCCAGCACUUUGGGAGGCCGAGGCAGGCGGGUCACGAGGUCAGGAGUUCCAGACCAGCCUGGCCAAUAUGGUAAAACCCCAUCUCUACUAAAAAUACAAAAAUUAACUGGGCAUAGUGGCACAUGCCUGUAGUCCCAGCUACUCGGGAGGCUGAGGCAGAAGAAUCGCUUGAACCUGGGAGGCAGAGCUUGCAGUGAGCCGAGAUCAUGCCACUGCACUCCAGCCUGGGUGACAGAGUGAGACUCCGUCUCAAAAAAAAAUAAAUAAAAAUAAAUGCAUUUUGACAUAGAAGCUAAAUAGAAUACUUUAUAGUUUAGCUUUAUUAUGUUAUUCAAUUGAAAUAUUUUCUAUCUUAGCUGCAACUAAAGAAUUUUAUUUUCAAGAUACAAUUCUAAAUCUGAUGUCAAAGAAGUAAACAUUUUUGUGUAUAGGUGAAGGUGAUAUAAUAUCUGGGAAUUCCUUCAAAAUAAUCUGAGGGAAGAUAAGUGUGUGUAUAGAUUUUUUAAAGAUUGGUUUAUAAAUUGAUAAUUGUUGAAGUAGGUUGAUAGGUAUAUGGGAGUUUAUUAUACUAUCCCACUUUUAUGUGUGUUUGAAAGAUUUUUUUUAAAUAGUUGUUUUUUUCCCCCUUUUGCCUUCUAGGAUUCUUACAGAAGCAGAGAUUGAUGCUCACCUUGUUGCUCUAGCAGAGAGAGACUAAAACAUUGUUGUUAGUUUACCAGAUCCGUGAUGCCACUUACCUGUGUGUUUCGUAACAACAAACCAACAUUAUGGAGGUCCCUGGAUUGAAAAAGGAGCCUCUCCCACUCCUCCUACCACCGAAGUGGUUAGGACUCUAUAUAAAUAAAAAUAAGGCUUUUGGAAAAU
rnacentral:sRNA from 1 species